UGCGUAGGCGGUCUUUCAAGCCAGAAGUGAAAGGCUACGGCUCAACCGUAGUAAGCUUUUGGAACUGUAGGACUUGAGUGCAGGAGAGGAGAGUAGAAUUCCUAGUGUAGCGGUGAAAUGCGUAGAUAUUAGGAGGAAUACCAGUAGCGAAGGCGGCUCUCUGGACUGUAACUGACGCUGAGGCACGAAAGCGUGGGGAGCGAACA
rnacentral:rRNA from 1 species